rnacentral:rRNA from 1 species
UUCCCUUCGGGGACAUUGGUGACAGGUGGUGCAUGGUUGUCGUCAGCUCGUGUCGUGAGAUGUUGGGUUAAGUCCCGCAACGAGCGCAACCCUUGUCUUUAGUUGCCAUCAUUAAGUUGGGCACUCUAGAGAGACUGCCAGGGAUAACCUGGAGGAAGGUGGGGAUGACGUCAAAUCAUCAUGCCCCUUAUGCUUAGGGCUACACACGUGCUACAAUGGGUAGUACAGAGGGUUGCCAAGCCGUAAGGUGUAGCUAAUCCCUUAAAGCUACUCUCAGUUCGGAUUGUAGGCUGAAACUCGCCUACAUGAAGCUGGAGUUACUAGUAAUCGCAGAUCAGAAUGCUGCGGUGAAUGCGUUCCCGGGUCUUGUACACACCGCCCGUCACACCACGGGAGUUGGAGACGCCCGAAGCCGAUUAUCUAACCUUUUGGAAGAAGUCGUCGAAGGUGGAAUCAAUAACUGGGGUGAAGUCGUAACAAGGUAGCCGUAUCGGAAGGUGCGGCUGGAUCACCUCCUUUCUAAGGA